UGGGGAAUAUUGCACAAUGGGGGAAACCCUGAUGCAGCAACGCCGCGUGAGUGAUGACGGCCUUCGGGUUGUAAAGCUCUGUCUUCAGGGACGAUAAUGACGGUACCUGAGGAGGAAGCCACGGCUAACUACGUGCCAGCAGCCGCGGUAAUACGUAGGUGGCAAGCGUUGUCCGGAUUUACUGGGCGUAAAGGGAGCGUAGGCGGACUUUUAAGUGAGAUGUGAAAUACCCGGGCUCAACCUGGGUGCUGCAUUUCAAACUGGAAGUCUAGAGUGCAGGAGAGGAGAGUGGGAUUCCUAGUGUAGCGGUGAAAUGCGUAGAGAUUAGGAAGAACACCAGUGGCGAAGGCGACUCUCUGGACUGUAACUGACGCUGAGGCUCGAAAGCGUGGGGAGCAAA
rnacentral:rRNA from 1 species